rnacentral:rRNA from 1 species
GACGAACGCUGGCGGCGUGCCUAAUACAUGCAAGUAGAACGCUGAAGAGAGGAGCUUGCUCUUCUUGGAUGAGUUGCGAACGGGUGAGUAACGCGUAGGUAACCUGCCUUGUAGCGGGGGAUAACUAUUGGAAACGAUAGCUAAUACCGCAUAACAAUGGAUGACACAUGUCAUUUAUUUGAAAGGGGCAAUUGCUCCACUACAAGAUGGACCUGCGUUGUAUUAGCUAGUAGGUGAGGUAACGGCUCACCUAGGCGACGAUACAUAGCCGACCUGAGAGGGUGAUCGGCCACACUGGGACUGAGACACGGCCCAGACUCCUACGGGAGGCAGCAGUAGGGAAUCUUCGGCAAUGGGGGCAACCCUGACCGAGCAACGCCGCGUGAGUGAAGAAGGUUUUCGGAUCGUAAAGCUCUGUUGUAAGUCAAGAACGAGUGUGAGAGUGGAAAGUUCACACUAUGACGGUAGCUUACCAGAAAGGGACGGCUAACUACGUGCCAGCAGCCGCGGUAAUACGUAGGUCCCGAGCGUUGUCCGGAUUUAUUGGGCGUAAAGCGAGCGCAGGCGGUUUGAUAAGUCUGAAGUUAAAGGCUGUGGCUCAACCAUAGUUCGCUUUGGAAACUGUCAAACUUGAGUGCAGAAGGGGAGAGUGGAAUUCCAUGUGUAGCGGUGAAAUGCGUAGAUAUAUGGAGGAACACCGGUGGCGAAAGCGGCUCUCUGGUCUGUAACUGACGCUGAGGCUCGAAAGCGUGGGAAGCGAACAGGAUUAGAUACCCUGGUAGUCCACGCCGUAAACGAUGAGUGCUAGGUGUUGGAUCCUUUCCGGGAUUCAGUGCCGCAGCUAACGCAUUAAGCACUCCGCCUGGGGAGUACGACCGCAAGGUUGAAACUCAAAGGAAUUGACGGGGGCCCGCACAAGCGGUGGAGCAUGUGGUUUAAUUCGAAGCAACGCGAAGAACCUUACCAGGUCUUGACAUCCCGAUGCUAUUUCUAGAGAUAGAAAGUUACUUCGGUACAUCGGUGACAGGUGGUGCAUGGUUGUCGUCAGCUCGUGUCGUGAGAUGUUGGGUUAAGUCCCGCAACGAGCGCAACCCCUAUUGUUAGUUGCCAUCAUUCAGUUGGGCACUCUAGCGAGACUGCCGGUAAUAAACCGGAGGAAGGUGGGGAUGACGUCAAAUCAUCAUGCCCCUUAUGACCUGGGCUACACACGUGCUACAAUGGUUGGUACAACGAGUUGCGAGUCGGUGACGGCAAGCUAAUCUCUUAAAGCCAAUCUCAGUUCGGAUUGUAGGCUGCAACUCGCCUACAUGAAGUCGGAAUCGCUAGUAAUCGCGGAUCAGCACGCCGCGGUGAAUACGUUCCCGGGCCU